rnacentral:rRNA from 1 species
AGUGAACGCUGGCGGUAGGCCUAACACAUGCAAGUCGAACGGCAGCACAGUAAGAGCUUGCUCUUACGGGUGGCGAGUGGCGGACGGGUGAGGAAUACAUCGGAAUCUACUUUUUCGUGGGGGAUAACGUAGGGAAACUUACGCUAAUACCGCAUACGACCUACGGGUGAAAGCAGGGGAUCUUCGGACCUUGCGCGAUUGAAUUAGCCGAUGUCGGAUUAGCUAGUUGGCGGGGUAAAGGCCCACCAAGGCGACGAUCCGUAGCUGGUCUGAGAGGAUGAUCAGCCACACUGGAACUGAGACACGGUCCAGACUCCUACGGGAGGCAGCAGUGGGGAAUAUUGGACAAUGGUCGCAAGCCUGAUCCAGCCAUACCGCGUGGGUGAAGAAGGCCUUCGGGUUGUAAAGCCCUUUUGUUGGGAAAGAAAAGCAGCAGGUUAAUACCCCGCUGUUCUGACGGUACCCAAAGAAUAAGCACCGGCUAACUUCGUG